CCGGGCAUCGGCGCGCGCGGCCCGCGGCGGCCCGGGCGCGUCCAGCCGGGAGGAACGGCCAGGAGACCCGACUCGUGCUCUCGUCCGCCCGACCCUGCACGUGUCCGUCUGUCUCGUGCGCUGUCCGUCCACCUCGUCCACGGGUCCAAGGACCGCUGAGAUUGGAGUUGGCCUAAAGGUAAAAACUGUGUGAGUUCUGGGACGCGGAAGAGAAGCAGCGGUCAUUAUACUCUGAAGGUUAUCGUCAGACCCAGGGGUGCUGCUGGGUGCCAGUUUGUUCUUGCUCUUCCCUCCUUCCUGAUGCUGGCCUUGCCCAUCAAAAGUGACCUCAGGCCUCCACCGGACGCUUGGCUGACAACUCAGAGAGGUGGCAGCUAUGAAGGGCCAGCAACCUUCCAUAGCCUUCGUGGUCUCAUCCCAAGAGCAGGACGUACUGGCUCCCUGCAAGUUCUGACACGUUCGUGACUUUUUUUCUGCUCCUUCAACUACAUUCUUUGGAUCUUUAUCUUCCCAGCUCUUCCCACAAUCGUCACAGACCAGUGCAGUGCUGACACUUCGUUAUCCCAGAGCAUAUUGUCCUGCCUGGACCCUCUGGAUGUGAGGACCCCUUCAUGGAAUUACCAUCGUAUGUCCAAUGGU